GACGAACGCUGGCGGCGUGCUUAACACAUGCAAGUCGAACGAUGAAGCCGGAGCUUGCUCCGGUGGAUUAGUGGCGAACGGGUGAGUAACACGUGAGCAAUCUGCCCUUGACUCUGGGAUAACUGCGGGAAACUGUAGCUAAUACCGGAUACGACACCUUGGGGCAUCCCCGGGUGUGGAAAGAAUUUCGGUCAAGGAUGAGCUCGCGGCCUAUCAGCUAGUUGGUGAGGUAAUGGCUCACCAAGGCGACGACGGGUAGCCGGCCUGAGAGGGUGACCGGCCACACUGGAACUGAGACACGGUCCAGACUCCUACGGGAGGCAGCAGUGGGGAAUAUUGCACAAUGGGCGAAAGCCUGAUGCAGCAACACCGCGUGAGGGAUGAAGGCCUUCGGGUUGUAAACCUCUUUUAGCAGGGAAGAAGCGAAAGUGACGGUACCUGCAGAAAAAGCACCGGCUAACUACGUGCCAGCAGCCGCCGUAA
rnacentral:rRNA from 1 species